rnacentral:rRNA from 1 species
AUUGAACGCUGGCGGCAGGCUUAACACAUGCAAGUCGAGCGAGCGGCGGACGGGUGAGUAAUGUCUGGGAAACUGCCUGAUGGAGGGGGAUAACUACUGGAAAAGGUAGCUAAUACCGCAUACCAUCAGAUGUGCCCAGAUGGGAUUAGCUAGUAGGUGGGGUAAUGGCUCACCUAGGCGACGAUCCCUAGCUGGUCUGAGAGGAUGAACAGCCACACUGGAACUGAGACACGGUCCAGACUCCUAAGGGAGGCAGCAGUGGGGAAUAUUGCACAAUGGGCGCAAGCCUGACUCGGCCAUGCCGCGUGUGGGAAGAAGGCCUUCGGGUUGUAAAGCUCUUUCAGCGGGGAGGCGUUACUCGCAGAAGAAGCACCGGCUAACUCCGUGCCAGCAGCCGCGGUAAUUC